AAGUUUGCUUAAUUAUCACGCACGGUCUUUGGCUAAUUAAUUCCAAGUCCUUAAUUAGAAUACAUCGAUUAGUUAUUAAGCCUGAUUCUCAUUUAUCGUAAACAUCGGCGAUGCCCAUUGUCGGUGGUCAUUGAUUUACCCCGUCAGUGGAAAAAUAAUCACCCUAUAUUAAAGAAGGCAAGAAUUUAUUAAUUUCUUGAUCAGUGCGUUCAACUGAAAGUUUGCUGCCGCCCCCCCCNNNNNNNNNNNNNNNNNNNNACCAUACCAUUUCAUUGAUAUAAAAAUUCUUUGAAAAACACUAUAACUAGUGCCAGGCUCCAACGGACCAUUAAAAUAAUCACUUGGAGUUGACCUCCGUUUUCGUGAAGUUGGAUCAUCUGUUUCAUAUUAAUCUGACACUGCAAUCGAGCAACGAAAAAUUCGUUGGCUCGAGCGCGGAAUUUGAACUCGCAUGUUCAAAUCCCGAAGAUGCGAGUUCAAAGAUGCGAGUUCAAAGAUGCGAGUUCAAAUCCCGCUCGAGCUAGCGAAUUUUUCGUUGCUCGAUUGCAGUGUCAGAUUAAUAUGAAACUAGUUUUUCGUAUCUCUGAGGAUGGUUCUGAAAUAGAAUUGAAACACUGCGCGUCCUCUAAGACAAGCGUUAAGUCGUCACGAAA
rnacentral:lncRNA from 1 species